rnacentral:rRNA from 1 species
AGCGUUAUCCGGAAUUAUUGGGCGUAAAGCGCGCGUAGGCGGUUUUUUAAGUCUGAUGUGAAAGCCCACGGCUCAACCGUGGAGGGUCAUUGGAAACUGAAAAACUUGAGUGCAGAAGAGGAAAGUGGAAUUCCAUGUGUAGCGGUGAAAUGCGCAGAGAUAUGGAGGAACACCAGUGGCGAAGGCGACUUUCUGGUCUGUAACUGACG